rnacentral:miRNA from 1 species
UCCCAUUGCAUCAGCGGACACA